GUAGUCUUGGCUGUAAACGGUGCGUAUUUGCUGUAAACGGAAUCGACCCCGUUUGUGGCGUAGCUAACGCGAUAAAUACGCCGCCUGGGAAGUACGGUCGCAAGAUUAAAACUCAAAGAAAUUGACGGGGGCCUGCACAAGCGGUGGAGUAUGUGGCUUAAUUCGAUGCAACGCGAAGAACCUUACCUGGCCUUGACAUGCAUGUGGUAGAACCAUGAAAGUGGGACGACCCCGCAAGGGGAGCAUGCACAGGUGCUGCAUGGCUGUCGUCAGCUCGUGUCGUGAGAUGUUGGGUUAAGUCCCGCAACGAGCGCAACCCUUGUGUCCUGUUGCCACUCCUACGAGAGUAGGGAGCACUCUGGACAGACUGCCUCGCUUAAACGAGGA
rnacentral:rRNA from 1 species